GGGGACGUGGCCCAGCCAGGCAGGGCGACUGACUCCAGAGGCCACGCCCGGUGACGAACUCCAGACUGAUAUACCGAGUGAGCGGGUGAUCACCGUCUCACGAUGACGACCCUCUGGAGUACCGAGGCAAACCGGAGAUAUCAGUCAAUCGGGGGUUCAAAUCCCUCCGUCCCCA
rnacentral:tRNA from 1 species